AUUGAACGCUGGCGGCAGGCCUAACACAUGCAAGUCGAACGAGUGGCGGAAGGGGGAGGAAGGUCGGGGAAACUGCCCGAUGGAGGGGGAUAACUACUGGAAACGGUAGCUAAUACCGCGCACCAUCGGAUGUGCCCAGAUGGGAUUAGCUUGUAGGUGAGGUAACGGCUCACCUAGGCGACGAACCCUAGCUGGUCUGAGAGGAUGACCAGCCACACUGGAACUGAGACACGGUCCAGACUCCUACGGGAGGCAGCAGUGGGGAAUAUUGCACAAUGGGCGCAAGCCUGAUGCAGCCAUGCCGCGUGUAUGAAGAAGGCCUUCGGGUUGUAAAGUACUUUCAGCGGGGAGGCGUUACCCGCAGAAUCCGCACCGGCUAACUCCGUGCCAGCAGCCGCGGUCCUGC
rnacentral:rRNA from 1 species